CCGUCAUUCUCCUGUGAUCUGUGCUGCUGGUAGCUUCUCUUGGCGUCAUCAUCUCCGGUCAUCCCCGCACUUCUCCAUUCCAUACCCCCUCCUCUGGCGACCUAGAGUGAACGCCAAGUGCGCCGCGGCGGUCACCUCCAACGACGGCCCACCCCUCUGACUCCUCUCUGUCUCUCUCGAGUAUAUGAGAUGAUCUCUUCUGCUACGUUUGGUAAAGAUGGAUUUGUUCUGAUGGGAGCGUGACUCAUGGGCGUGUAUGGUGUCUCACCCGCGGGCGCGGCUACGCGUCGAUGCCCUCGGAGGUCCCUGCUGCCACCGUCUUGCUUCCCGCUUGAGAGUUUGUACUGCACGUGCGUUGAUGGGUGUACUGUACGCCACCGUCCUGCACCUGUGUUAAACCUGGCCGUGGUUUUGCUGCUGAAGAGAGCACCCCAACCAAGAGUUAAACUACUUUACCGAGCAAGAUGAUUUCAUGGAGAUGCAUGUAAAACAUUUCUGCAAGCCCUUCGUGGAGAAACCCAUUGAUGGCAUGGGGUAGAAGAAGCAAACAAACGUUUGACUCCAUCUAGAACCUCGGAGAGCCGUAUGACCAUGGUGCAGACCGCCCCUUGUAGGCUCCAGAUCACCCGCAAGACCGUUCCGAAAUUUGGGCAGAAAUGCUAGCUCUUACUACUUGAGUACUUGUCGGUCCAUCACACAGGUAGGUGCUUGGAUUGGGGAAUAAUUACAUGUGACGACUAUAGAGUGACAUAUAUCAAUUGCCAUUGA